rnacentral:rRNA from 1 species
AGAAUCAACGCUGGCGGCGUGCCUCAGACAUGCAAGUCGAACGAUUAAAGCUCUCUUCGGAGAGUGUAUAGAGUGGCGCACGGGUGAGUAACACGUAAGUAAUCUACCUUUGAGUGGGGAAUAACAUCGGGAAACCGAUGCUAAUACCGCAUAAUGCAGCGGCAUCGCAAGAUGACAGUUGUUAAAGAUUUUAUCGCUUGAAGAGGAGCUUGCGGCAGAUUAGCUUGUUGGUAAGGUAACGGCUUACCAAGGCUACGAUCUGUAACCGGUCUAAGAGGACGGUCGGUCACACUGACACUGAAUAACGGGUCAGACUCCUACGGGAGGCAGCAGUCGGGAAUUUUGGCAAUGGGCGAAAGCCUGACCCAGCAACGCCGCGUGAAGGAUGAAGUAUUUCGGUAUGUAAACUUCGAAAGAAGUAGGAAGAAUCAAUGACGGUACCAUUUAUAAGGUCCGACUAACUACGUGCCAGUCGACGCCGAGUAACUCGUAG